rnacentral:rRNA from 1 species
UGGGGAAUUUUGGACAAUGGGGGAAACCCUGAUCCAGCCAUCCCGCGUGUGCGAUGAAGGCCUUCGGGUUGUAAAGCACUUUUGGCAGGAAAGAAACGUCAUGGGUUAAUACCCCGUGAAACUGACGGUACCUGCAGAAUAAGCACCGGCUAACUACGUGCCAGCAGCCGCGGUAAUACGUAGGGUGCAAGCGUUAAUCGGAAUUACUGGGCGUAAAGCGUGCGCAGGCGGUUCGGAAAGAAAGAUGUGAAAUCCCAGAGCUCAACUUUGGAACUGCAUUUUUAACUACCGGGCUAGAGUGUGUGAGAGGGAGGUGGAAUUCCGCGUGUAGCAGUGAAAUGCGUAGAUAUGCGGAGGCACACCGAUGGCGAAGGCAGCCUCCUGGGAUAACACUGACGAUCAUGCACGAAAGCGUGGGGAGCAAACAGG